rnacentral:rRNA from 1 species
GCCUGAUGCAGCGACGCCGCGUGCGGGAUGACGGCCUUCGGGUUGUAAACCGCUUUUGACAGGGACGAAGCGCAAGUGACUGUACCUGUAGAAUAAGGACCGGCCAACUACGUGCCAGCAGCCGCGGUAAUACGUAGGGUCCGAGCGUUGUCCGGAAUUACUGGGCGUAAAGAGCUUGUAGGCGGUUCGUCGCGUCGUUUGUGAAAACUUGGGGCUCAACCUUAAGCUUGCAGGCGAUACGGGCGGACUAGAGUACUUCAGGGGAGACUGGAAUUCCUGGUGUAGCGGUGAAAUGCGCAGAUAUCAGGAGGAACACCGGUGGCGAAGGCGGGUCUCUGGGAAGUAACUGACGCUGAGAAGCGAAAGCAUGGGUAGCAAACAGGAUUAGAUACCCUGGUAGUCCAUGCCGUAAACGGUGGGUACUAGGUGUGGGGCUCCUUCCACGGACUCCGUGCCGUAGCUAACGCAUUAAGUACCCCGCCUGGGGAGUACGGCCGCAAGGCUAAAACUCAAAGAAAUUGACGGGGGCCCGCACAAGCGGCGGAGCAUGUGGAUUAAUUCGAUGCAACGCGAAGAACCUUACCUGGGUUUGACAUACACCGGAAACCUGCAGAGAUGUAGGCCCCCUUGUGGUCGG